GGUCUCCGGGACUGCCCCCGGCUCCUGCGUUCUGCGUCGGUCUCCGGGACUGCCCCCGGCUCCUGCGUUCUGCGUCGGUCUCCGGGACUGCCACUGGCUCCUGAGCAUUUCUUGUCUUGGAUUGGUCAUUCCUUCCCUCACCCACCAAAGGUCCUGACCUGAAGUGGUGUAAAGUCGUUUUCAUUGCUGUUUUGUUUUCAUUUCCUCAGGAAGAAUGAGAGUCUGUUCGGGCGAGGCUGACAGCAGUGCACAGGGCAGUGCGGGCAGCAGGGUGGGCGGCUGCAGGCUGCCGACAGCCUUUCCUUAUGGGAAUGUUCUGGGGCCCUGGACAUUGUGAGCACAGGGCUCAAGCCCAUGGUGCCUGUGGGGAAGUCUCAGGGGCUCUGCACAGUGAGGGUGAGAGCAGGGUUGCCACCUGACACAGCAGUCUGCGGCUUUCAUGUGAGGAUGGGCUGUUUGUCCCUUCCCUGCUCUUACUGGGGCCACGUGCUCGAGCUUUAAGAAGGGUCAGAAUAGGCCGGGCGCGGUGGCUCUCCCCUGUAAUCCCAGCACUUUGGGAGGCCAAGGCGCGCAGAACACAAAGUCAAGAGCUCGAGACCAUCCUGGCCAACACGGUGAAACCUCGUCUCUACUAAAAGCACAAAGAUUAGCCGGGCGUGGCGCAUGCCUGCAGUCCCAGCUACUCGGGAGGGUGAGGCAGGAGAGUGACGUGAACCCAAGAGGCAGAGGUUGCAGUGAGCCGAGAUGGUGUCAUUGCACUCCAGCCCAGCUGUAGAGUGAGACACCGUCUCAAAAAAAAAAAAAAAAAGAGGGUCAGAGUAGAUGCCUCCAGCUGUGCCCCAUCAGGGAGAGAGACAGAAGGAAAUGGCAUCUUGACCACAGGGCACUGGAGCCCUCUGGGCAUGUCUCGUCCCGGAUCCUCGUCUGCAGUGAGUGUGGCAGAGAGAAACCCAAGGCCUUGUUUCUUCACGGGCAGUGCCAGGGCCACGGCCCCAUCGGACUCUGGGCUCAGUGAGGGUCUCAGCAGGACCGGGUUGUCUCCUGCAGGUUCCCAGGCCCUGGGCUCACGGAGACGUUUUGUUCUUAGAAUCAAGGCUUUCAGGUAGGUUUCUGGAAAGGAGAUUCACUUUCAAUGCAGGUAGCCCAGGCACAGAGCUCUCACAUUGUGCGGCGGUGCAGAAGGGACGAGGCUUCCACGCCCGCCAGCCUGUGCCCACCCCAGUUGUUAGAGGCAGCUGAUUCCGCUCCUUUCUUUUGGUGUCCCUGCUAUUCCUCCUUUCUUUAUAUUUUCUCCACACGUUUUUUGGUGAUUUUUUAAAAUUUAGUUUUUUGGCUAUCAAUACUUUCACAGGAUUAAAAACAAACAGAAGCUGAGAAGGCAUGUGCUGUAAAGUUUCACUCCCUCCCCUCCCCCUCGCUGUUCCUGCCAACUCCCAGUACCACUUUUAUUGCAGAUGAAACAAACACAAGCGCCCUUGUUCUCACUCCUGUUUGGGGCCCCGUGUUGGCGUGGUCCAUACGUGUUCUUCCCUAUCGAACAUGUUUGCGAUUGUUGCCCUGUUGACACAGAGAGAACACCCACAUCUCCUCCAGCGGCCUGUGCCCUCCCUCCAGCAGGCUCCAAGCUUGUGACGUGUCUGUCCUUGCUGGCAGACAUUCGGGUGCCGCCCGUGGGGAGGGGUGGCCAGUGCAGCUCCGGGGGACGCCCAGCAGGUGGUUACUGGUCAGGGGGUGGUGUGUUCAAUGUGGUUACCUACUCUAGCUACCCUGCCUCAGCCACAGAGCCAGCUGGGCCAUCUGGGUGUUACCCUGUUGUUACACAGUGACAUCCUAAAGAUGGUGUCACUGCUGCAUACCUUGCACCAGCACCCAGGCGAGGCCAGCUCCAUCUGGGAGCAUCUGCAGGUGUCUCUGUCCUCCCUGCUGCCCCCAGUUCCCCUGCAGCCCUGGCCUUGUUCUGGCAGCCCCUUUGGUUAUGACUUUCCUGAGUGUUGGGAUUCCACACAAAAUAAACCUCAGCCAUCCGAGGUCUGUCGCUCUGCUUCCUGAGAGCACAUCUGGGUUUGGGGAUGGUUUUACCUAGAGGAUAAGAAUCCCAACGUUUGCACUUUAUGUGUCAUGUCUUCCAUUCCUAACACAUCUGGGAUGAUGACAUUCAUGGGACUCUGUGCCGGGAGAGACCAGAGUGAGGCGGGGAGGCCCUGCCCUCGCGGAGCCCGUCAUUGAGAGUGUGGUGUCCCAGGGCUGGCUCCCACCUGGGCAUCUGACCUCACGGCCAACCUCUCCUUGACACCUGGACUCAUCGUGCCUUCAACUUAUGUAGUGUCUGAGAGCUUCCAGCCUGAGUUUCGUAGCUGUGACUUCAUCCAGCUGCUGCUUCUCAUGGUUGCACUGGCAUCUGCAGCUCUGAAUAUGAGAGGGAUGGGGUUUUGGAGCUGUGCAGAGCCAGGCUCAGGAGCCACUUCUUGUUAGAGAGUUGCUGUUGGACCGAGGACAUGCCCAGUGUUUUCUUUGCUUCCUCCUGGAUAACACGAGGACUGCGGUUGACACGUGCUCACUGCGAUGGCCUGGCACCUGUCACCUGCCACCCAGGGACAGGCCUGCGAAGACUGACUUCUGUCCUGAACGGGCGCACUGGGCAGGGUUUGGCAGCGCAGGGCAGGGGACCUGCUAGGGGCAGAGUCUGAUGAGAUGAAAUUGAGUUCUGAGGAGGCCACACAGCUCCCGAGGGGGGGCUCACAUGUAGGGUGAAGGAAGGUACAGGGCUUGGGUUCGGUACUUGCAAUGACUCAGGGUGAAGGUGCCGCUGAGAGCUGUGCAGAUGCCUGUUACUGAAAGGCCAGGUGCAAGUCACAGACAGGGACGUGCUUUGGCCUGGGUUGAUGAUGAAGUUCUGGAGACUGCUGUGCUCCCAAGGGCCUGUAGCGAGAGGCCUCGGAUGCCGCUUCAAGUGACUCGAAGCUCAGAAAUGCAUGAUGGAAGCCAGAAGGGGCGCCGCCACGAGCUGGUGUGCAUUUGGCAGUGUUUCAAUUUUAGAAGUAUAAUUUAUAUAUAAAAAAUUCACAGGCCGGGCCCGGUGGCUCAAGCCUGUAAUCCCAGCACUUUGGGAGGCUGAGAUGGGUGGAUCACGAGGUCAGGAGAUCAAGACCAUCCUGGCUAACACGGUGAAACCCUGUCUCUACUAAAAAAUACAAAAAACUAGCUGGGUGAGGUGCCGGGCGCCUGUACUCCCAGCUACUCGGGAGGCUGAGGCAGGAGAAUGGUGUAAACUCGGGAGGCGGAGCUUGCAGUGAGCUGAGAUCCGGCCACUGCACUCCAGCCUGGGCGACAGAGCAAGACUCUCUCAAAAAAAAAAAAAAA
ensembl:lncRNA